UACGGGGGGGGCAAGCGUUGUUCGGAAUUACUGGGCGUAAAGGGCGCGUAGGCGGUUGGAUAAGUCAGCUGUGAAAACCACGGGCUUAACUCGUGGCCUGCAGUUGAGACUGUCUGGCUUGAGUGUGGGAGAGGAGAGUGGAAUUCCUGGUGUAGCGGUGAAAUGCGCAGAUAUCAGGAAGAACACCUAUGGCGAAGGCAGCACUCUGGGACGGUACUGACGCUGAGACGCGAAAGCGUGGGGAGCGAACAGG
rnacentral:rRNA from 1 species